GCGCCACAUUAUACCUGCUCAGAGGAAGGUCUUCUAUAGCUACUUAAAGAUAAAAUAAUAUUUAGUAAAGUAUUUAAUUAGUAUUAUAUUUUUAUAAUAUUUGUUAUUGGCAGGCUAUAUUUAAUAUUGUUGAUUUUGAGCAUGAUUACGUACGACGAGUUAUGGAUGAUCAUCUAUGCUCACAUUUCAAAGAUUAUUGAUGUCACAGUCAUCGUCACUGGUAUGCUGUAGUGCAAGACUAAGGGGUCGAGGCAGCAUGGC
rnacentral:lncRNA from 1 species